AUUGAACGCUGGCGGAAUGCUUUACACAUGCAAGUCGAACGGCAGCACGGACUUCGGUCUGGUGGCGAGUGGCGAACGGGUGAGUAAUGUAUCGGAACGUGCCCAGUCGUGGGGGAUAACGUAGUGAAAAUUACGCUAAUACCACAUACGAUCUAUGGAUGAAAGCGGGGGAUCGCAAGACCUCGCGCGAUUGGAGCGGCCGAUAUCAGAUUAGGUAGUUGGUGGGGUAAAGGCCCACCACGCCAACGAUCUGUAGCUGCUCUGAGAGGACGACCAGCCACACUGGAACUGAGACACGGUCCAGACUCCUACGGGGGGCAGCAGUGGGGAAUUUUGGACAAUGGGCGAAAGCCUGAUCCAGCCAUGCCGCGUGCAGGAUGAAGGCCCUCGGGUUGUAAACUGCUUUUGUACAGAACGAAAAGGUUUCUACUAAUACUAGGAGCUCAUGACGGUACUGUAAGAAUAAGCACCGGCUAACUACGUGCCAGCCGCCGCCGUAA
rnacentral:rRNA from 1 species